GGGAGGUGAGCAAAAUUGCAUAUAGGAGUUUCUGUAUCGGUGAGUAUCGAGUUUUGGAGUCCGAGAGUACUUCACUGACAAAGUACACAAGUCUUUGGACUUUGUAAACGUGGCCUGGUUCAGACCGUUCAACUACUAUCGCCGUGCUGACGACAUGAGUAGUAGUUGCUAUGUAUAGGAGCAAGUCUUUGUUUGGAGAUGGAGCAGUGAGUAUAGGAGGCUUUGAUAGAAAGUCUUUGAGUUGCGUCAGUGCCAAGUCUGCCUCUUCUGUCCAUUUAAACUUGUCCUGUCAUUUGAGAAGCU
rnacentral:lncRNA from 1 species